ACCUAAACGGGAUGGUAGCGGUAUCCUUUUGUGUCGCCCUGAGCGCAGCCGAAGGGCAGCAAAAGAUAUAGCGAACAGCCCGGCCGGAA
rnacentral:sRNA from 1 species